GAUGAACGCUGGCGGCGUGCCUAAUACAUGCAAGUCGAGCGAACGGACGAGAAGCUUGCUUCUCUGAUGUUAGCGGCGGACGGGUGAGUAACACGUGGAUAACCUACCUAUAAGACUGGGAUAACUUCGGGAAACCGUAGCUAAUACCGGAUAAUAUUUUGAACCGCAUGGUUCAAAAGUGAAAGACGGUCUUGCUGUCACUUAUAGAUGGAUCCGCGCUGCAUUAGCUAGUUGGUAAGGUAACGGCUUACCAAGGCAACGAUGCAUAGCCGACCUGAGAGGGUGAUCGGCCACACUGGAACUGAGACACGGUCCAGACUCCUACGGGAGGCAGCAGUAGGGAAUCUGCCGCAAUGGGCGAAAGCCUGACGGAGCAACUCCGCGUGAGUGAUGAAGGUCUUCGGAUCGUAAAACUCUGUUAUUAGGGAAGAACAUAUGUGUAAGUAACUGUGCACAUCUUGACGGUACCUAAUCAGAAAGCCACGGCUAACAACGU
rnacentral:rRNA from 1 species